ensembl:lncRNA
UUGAGCAAAAAGUGCCUUUGGGUUUUUAAUGCUAGUUCCAACUUUAGAUAGACUUGUGGAACAACACAGGUUGGAGUGGGACCUUUAGAUGCCACUUGGUCCAACCCUAGAAAUUUUGGUGACCCUUAAACUUUGAUCAUCUCUGAAACCACAUAACGUUUUUGGUUUUUUUUUUCCAAAGAAUGUUGGGAAAUAGUGGAUCUAACCCUGGUCCCAAGGCAGGAUGAAAUUUGCUCUCCAGUCUUCCUAAGCUGGUAUAAAACCCUCCAUGAGCAGAGAUCCCAACCCUGCUGCAGGCAAUGCGUCCCCAUGCUGCACUAACUCAGGAGAGCAAACUUUCCUGAUAACAGGAUAAGAAAAACACAAUAUUAGCUGAAUUUAUUGACCGGAGAGGCUGCCUUCUCUCCAGCAAAACCUGACCAGCCAAAUCCCUCGCUAUAUGGCUCAACACGAAGUAGAAGGGGAAAGGAGAACAAAUGCAAUAUAACAGGCCACGAUAUAGUGCUGCUUAUAAGUAGUUUACCAGGAAAGGUAUGAGACUGGUAUUUUGAACAAAUCCCCAGCCACUGUUUUAAUAAAGUGCCUUUAGUAUACCACUCUGCCGUGUUUAAAUCUAAUUCCAGUUGUCAGUCAAAUGGCUGUAUGUUAUUAACCUAUGGGCAUAAUUGCCUAUUCCAAGUCUGCAGCUCUAAGAAGCCUUAUGCACGACUGUAAUAAAUGAAAUAACUUUUAUGAUUCCAACACACAGUCGAACACAUUGACAUUGCAAAUUACACACGCGUACGCAUUACUUUUGUCUUCUCUGUAUAAGAUGUUAUCAGUUUGAUGACUGCAGAGGAAGACCCGUGCUCACGGGGAAAUUGCUGAGCUUUGUAUUAGCUCAUCUCUACAGCUGUUGCCACAUGGAAGCACUUCAGCACAUCUUGGUUUAAAAUAAAAACGUCUCCGUACAAAUAACGAAACGUUCAUAAAAAGGAAUGAAAUAAAAAAGGAGAAAUCCUCACAUGUCGCCGUGGCCAAGGGAUUUGUGUCAGGUUUGUGCACUGAUGGCUGCUGUCUCUCCAUCCCCAGCCUCCUCCCUCCCCAGCCAUUUGCCUUUCCCCAUCUGGAUACGCUCCGCGCCGUGCUUUGUGUCUGGGGGAGGAGGGGAUGCUGAAGGGGAGAUGGGCUCUUGGUUUAUUUUUGGUCUGUCAUCAGUGGGGCAAAGUGAGCACGAAGCAAUGGCAGGGCAAAAGCAUUUGCCAGCCUUUGUGUGCUGCUGAAAACCUCAACACAUUUGGGAAGGCAGCUAUGGGUCACCGAAAGAUGUGGGUGCAUCAAUAUGGGUUGGGUUGGAAGGGCCCAUAAAGACCCCUCAGUGCAAUCCCUGCUGUGGGCAGGGGCACAUCCCACAGCCCAGGCUGCCCACAGCCCCAUCCAUAGCCUUGGGCACUGCCAGGAAUGGGGCACCCACAGCUCUCUGGGCAGCCUGUGCCACCUCUUCACCACUCUCACUGUGAAGCACUUCUUCCUAAUAUCUAACCUAAAUCCCACACUUUGGAUGAAAUGAUCCCAAAAGACCAUGGGAGCGACCCAGACUGACUUGGAAAUGCUGCUUUCUUGCCGUGGGUCGAGAAGGGCUCAGGAUCCUCCUAAUGUGACCUUUAGGGCUGGGACGGUGUCGUGCCCUAAAAUCAUGACGUUUACAUGGAAUGAGAGGAUGGAUAUUUUAGGGAUUGGGGUUUCUGGGACAGGUAUAAAUGUAUUUAUGUGCCACGAUGUACAGGUUCACGUGAGGAGUGCUGAUUCCAUUCAUAUCCUUCCAAGUACUGAUAGCAAUUAAAGAUUUGUACAUCUUGCAUCGUGUCCCCAUUAAAACUCUGGAUGAGGGCAGAAAUCUCUUGAACUCUUCUUAUGCAGCUCUUGCCCUCUAACCCAUGUGAUCCCAUUGAGGAGGUCAGGAUGUGUCUGACUGUAUCAGGGAGCCAUGGGGAUCCCUCUUCCUUACUCAUCCCCCAGCAGACUCAUUCCCCUCUUGGAGAGCAGCCUCAUUCCAAACCUGGGAGCACAGCAGUGCUGACUCCUGGUUCCCUUCCCCCUCUGAGCGUUGAUUUUCAGCCCUGUUCCCUGGCUGUGGAGCAAAGCAUGUGAAAAGGACUAUAGACACUGGGAUGCCAUAGCAGCAUCACCACCCCAUCAUCGCUGCAUGGCUUGGGACUGUGCACACGCACACACAACUCUGCAAGUGCCAUGGAAACAGAGCAUCCUGCAUCCUCAGCAGAGGACCGCCUUCCAGCUCCUCUCCUCCCAGACCCACAAUGGGCAAAGCCUGUAGGUUUUCCUCCUUUGGUCGCUCAUCACCCAUGUGAGCUUGGAGCAAACCUAGUCUCUUGGGUCCCCAUGGUCCUGAUUGGAAUUAAUCUCACUAUUGGCCUGAUUCAGGGCAUCUUGGAUGGAGGGAAACAUAUAUUUAUAGGGGAUGCUUUGUUUGGAGAUGUUUUAAUAACAGGGAUAGGGUGGUAUGUGGGAGCAUCACCACUGUGCCAUGCUCGGCCAUCCCUCCUCCUCGGGGUACCGCACGCGGUUUCGCUGCCCGACCCCAUAAUGUGACGAUGCCACCAAGAUCCAUGCUUAUGAUCUCAUCAUCAGGCUACAUUUAGGGCGAUGGAGGUGAUUUGUAGCCCUGCUCCUGGGAGGUGUGUGGCUGGGAAUGAGCUGCAGAUCCCAGAAAAAUGGUCCUGGAAAAAAUACAGGUCUGCUGGUCCUUUUUAUAGCCUAGGCAAUUGAAUCGAGCUCAUCGCUUAGCCGAGACGUUUAGAAAGGAUUUUCCCCUCGAAUCCUGAUUAGAUUUCCCAGUGAAACGCCCACUUGGACUGCUGCUGCUAGGAGAUGCGUUGGGUUGCUGCUCAAGGAGGCAUCCGGCAUAAAAAUAAACCCAGGAAAGAAGCUGAAUGCUACAGGGACGUGGAGAAGACUUUUUGCUGUGUGAAACCCACCGUCUUGCAUGGGCAUGGGUGGAUGGCUGUGCUGCCUGGGGCCAUUAGCCAAGCUGGGACUUGACGGAGAGCAGGGAAAUGAAGGAAAGAGAGGAAUUUCCAACAUCACGUUGAACCAACGCAAGCAGAUUGGGAAGGGGUUGGCCAUGGGCAGGGGGGGGGCUAAAAAUGGCACAGCACUGCAGGUGGAUGUGGCUGGCACCUUGGAUCCCUGCUCCACCACUGUCCCAUCCCUGUCCCUUUCUGGUGCCUGACCUUGGGGAUGGAUGCGCAUGGGUUAUCCGGGGGCAUCGCUGCAGCGAUGGCGCUGCUUCACUCCCCCAGUAUUCCAGGAGGGUUCAGGGCUGCAGGUUUGAGUUGCUGUGUUUACAUCGGACUGCAGGCAGAGGGAGGAAGGAGGGGACACAGGGAGCUGACGUGCUCAGAAUAAACCCAUGCCACCUCCUCCUCCGCCUCGCAGCAAAAAAAAAAAAACCUGAACGCAUCUGCCUCCCCCACCCCACGCCAUUCCCAUACCCAAAGUGUCCACCCCGGGGAGGAGGGGCCACCUCGCAGCUCAUCCCAGGGGCAAAGGCCUCAGAGAAACCCCGGCCUGAUUUAUUCUGGGCACCGUAAUAAUUAUGGGAAUUAAUAUUAGUAAGAGCUCCCCUUCUUUGGCAGCUCCUGGUGCGACCCCAGCGUGGUCCCAGGCCUUUGGGUUGGAGCUCACGGUGUCUCUUUAUCCUAGCCCUUUUGCAAGGGAUAAAUGGAUUAUUUUCUGCAGGGAUGGGAGGUUAUUUUGAUAGCAUUUCCCUCUCCCAUACUCAGUAAUGGAAAUGCGGCUCGGCUGGCUCACUGGCAGCAGAGGGGUGAGGCCGUCUGCAGAGAUGCUCAGUGUGCAGAGAAUGAAGGGAAAGGACCCCAAAUGGAAGGGAUUCCACAUAGAAGGGAUCCCAAAUGGAAAGGUCUCCAGAUAGAAGAGACUCCAAAUGGAAGGGACCCCAAACGGGAGGGAUCCCGAAUAGAAGGGACCCCAAAUGGAAGGGAUCGCAAAUGAAGGGACCCCAAAUGUGAGGGCCUCCAAAUAGAAGAGGCUCCAAGUGGAAGGGACCCCAAAUGGAAGAGACCCCAAAUCUCUUCUAUUCUCCCUGUUAUUCCUUAAACAGGAGCUUGGGUUCUCUUGGAGGUCGAGGGUGAGCUCUCGUAGCAUUACCAAGCAGGCGGCUGUGGGCUGCCUAAUUUUUAUUAGGGUUUUUAUUUUGGGGUGGCUUUUGGUAUUUAUUUGCCCCCCAUCUGGACCUUGGUGGGGAAACCAAGGCUGGAAAGAGAAGAGCGAGAAACCUCCGUGAACAAAGGAGAGGAUGCGGGAACCCGCAGCAAGAAGAGCUUUAUUGGCACGGCGCAACCCGAUGGGAUCCUUGCGGCAUCCACAGCGCACCCGGUAGGUCUGUCCCCAAAUACCUGCAGCACCCCUGGGGGGGUGCAAGGAGCUGUCCCAGGGACCCCGAGCCAUCAUCUCUGCUCCCAUCCCAGAGGCAAGAGUCUGCUCACGGAGCUGCAAAGAGAUCUGGGGGCCCCAGCGGGAUGCAGGGUAGGCGAUGGGCUAUCAGGCACCUGUCUGCCUAUAAGAGGAGGAAAAAAAAGGGUGGAGGGGGGAAAAAAAGGGAUAAAAAAGGAGGAAGAAUAUAAGAAGGUGGGGUGGUGGUGGAGCAGCGCGGGGCUGCAGGGGCUCUGCGGGGGCACCGCUCGGCGUUAGGCCGCGGGGUCGUGGCCCCCUCCACCUCCCUCCCCUCUGCAGUUUCUUGAAUUUUCUUUUCUUUCAUUUUAUUUUAUUGCAUUUUCUGAAUAAUUCAGGUGCUGCCACCCCCUCCUCUCCCCCAGCCCUCCCCUCCGCCGCCGCUCGCACACGCCUCUGUGUUAGGGGUAUAAUGAGGCAGCCGAUGGGUAAUUGGGAUCUUUUGUAGGGAGGAUGUAUGGCCGGGGCAGCUGCUGGGGGGUGAAGGGGGGGGGGGGCAUCUGCGGGAGUGGGGGGGGACGCAUUACCAUACAAAGGGAACAAAUGACAUGUUUAUCCCUCCAAGAGAUUUACGCCCGGCCUCGCCCUGCAGACACAGCGCUCCCCCCAUCUGCAUCCCCGACACUUUUGAUUUAAAUUAUAAGGAUUAAAGGAAGGGGGGGGUAGGGGGGGAGGCGGGGGAGAGGCGCAUAAACAGCCACCGGAAAAAUAGCGGUAAUCAGAAGGAAGGGUUAAAGUGGGGAAAUGGUAAUAAAAAAGUGGCUUUGCUUUGCCCAACCUCCUUCCAUCUGGAGGGGGAGCGCUGACCCCAGGAGCUGCCCUUGGUUUUAGGAGGGGGGGAAUAACGAGGCAUUAUUAAAAGAAGGGGGAAAAAUAUAUAUAUAUGAAAAAUGGGGGAAAUGGGGAUGAAAGGAGAAAAGGAGAAAAAAAAAAGGAGAAAUGGGUAGAAGAAAAGGAAUGAAUGGGCAGAAAAAGGGGAGAAAAGGGUGGCAAAAAAAAAAAAGGAGAAAAGGGCAAUGGAAAAAAUGAAGAGGAAAGGGGGGGAAAGGGAGAAAAGGGCAAAAUAAAAAAAGGAGAAAAAGGCAAACCAGUAAUAAUAAUAAAAAAAGCUCAAAGCACAAAGCGGCGGCUCCAGCCCAGCCCCGGGGCUCCCCCGUGGGUCACCCCCGAGUGACAGCUCUGCGGGAAGGGCCCCCCCGGGGACCUCCUUCACCCCCCCCUCCCCUCUCCUCUAUCCCAAAGCUCUCCCUCCCCCCCCCCCCAGCCCACCGCUCUCACCCCCCUCCCCGCAGCGCUGCGGGUGCCACCUGCGCGGGUGCGCAGCGCGGCGCAAAGUUGCGCGCCCCGCCGCCGGGGUUCGGGGCCGCGCAGGGGGGUGCGGAAAAGCCGCGGAACGGCCUCCGGGCCUCGGCUCGAUGCUGGUCAGCCUCGUUCUUGGCAUUCACCGCGUGCCUUAAUUGUAUGGACAUUUAAAUCAAGGUCCGCUGUGAACACGGAGAGAGGGGCCUUUCCUCAAGGAAAAGAUGAAACGAAAAUAAAAAGGAAAAUAAGAAGAAGAAAGCAAAAUAUGUCUUUUGGAGAGAGAGAGAGAGAGAGGCGGUGGAGGAAAAAAAAAGAUCAAAGCAGAAAGGAAAAAUAAGAAUAACUAAAAACAAACAAACAAACAAAAAAAGCCAAAAACCAAAAAACAAAACGGGGGAGGGAUGGAAAAAAAAGGAGAGAGGGGCCGCGCUGCCCGCCGCCCCCGCGCAGCACAGCCUUUGUUCUGCCCAUGGGCAGGGAGGGGGAAAUCCAAAUAAACCCCCAGCCCCCCCCCUCUAUUUCCCCCCCUCCGCCUUCUCUCCCUGCCCUCCCCACCGCCGCAUCCCGGGUACGAUCCGCACGGAGGCAGCGGGUGGGGGGGUUGGGGGGGCUGUGCGUUACCUGCAGCCCGAGCCCCGCUGCGCUGCGCUGCGCUGCUGCUGCUGCUGCUGCUCUAAAAGGGGUCUGGAGGAGCGCGAGGAGCCUUCCCCCGUCCGCCUGUGCUGCUGUGCUGCUGCGCUGCUGCUGCAGUCAAAUCCUUUUCGCUCGGAUCCCAAGUGGUGCAAAAAAAAAAAAAAAAAAAAAAAAAGGAAAAAAAAAGGGGGGAAAAAAAGAAGAAAAAGGGAAAAAAAAAGAGAGGAAAAAGAAAAAAAAAGGCAGGAAAAAAAAAAAAAGAGAGGAGAGGGGCCCAUCUGGCUUCUCAUCAGCUUUGUCAAGUCUUGCAUACGCUAAAAUGCUAAUGACCUAGAUAGCUCAUGCAAAAUGCAGCAGAGAGAGGAGGGAGCAGCGAGGGAGGGGAGGAGGGAGGGGGAAAGCAGAGGGAGGGGGAGAGCCCGGCUGCGGCGCCCUCUCCCCUCCGCCCCCCCCUCCCCCCCCCACCGCCCGCUGCCCCAAUGCACCUUGCUGGGGACGAGCGGGCUUUGAUGGGAAAGGUCACCCGGGUGGGGUGCGGGGGGGCGGCGAACAGCCCCGCAUCCCCCCCCAUCGCCAUCCCCAUCCCUCGGGGGGGGGGGUGGUGGGGGUGAGGGGAGGCUGUGCCCGCAGCGCAUCCCGACCCCGCAUUGAGCCCCCAAGCCCCCCAGCCCAAAUCUCGGUAAAAAGAAGGAAAAUACCCCCUGCUCCGGUCCCUCGAUGCGGCGUAAUCCCGAGGAAAGCGGUUUUGGGGCGAAGGUGGGGGGGGUUAAAAUGGAGCCCCCCCCCCCAAGCGCUCUGCGCGCUACGCGGAGGUGAAAAAUUAAGAAAAAAUAAUAAUAAUGAAAAAAAUAUAUGAUAAUAACAAUAAUAACGAUGAUAACGAUAAUAAUAAUAAUAAAAAGAGAUUAAAACUGAGAAGAGAUGGGCGGAGGGGAGCGAAGCGGCGGCCGCGGGUGCGGGCGGAGGUGCGCACGGAGCGCGCAGCGCGGAGCUGCCGGGCGGGAGCCGCGGAGAGAGGAGCUGUCAGCGGCGCCUUCUCAUUUAUCAUUAGCCAGCCCUAAUCUUGCUCGCUGUCCUCCUUCGGUGAUGUUGAUCCACUUUCCCUCCCUCCUCCCCCAAG